UUUUUUUUUUUUUUUUUUUUAAGGUGUGUCCCGCAGGGAGUGGACCCCGCAGACUAUUCACCACCCUCAACAACUUGCUGGCAGCAAGGUUCGAACCAGGGACCUGAAGCCCCAUCUUCAGCAACCUCAACCACCAGACCAAGCCCCUGAGGGCAGUCUUUUCAUUCUUGACAAACCUUUUUUCAAUGUCCUGAAGGAACUUUUUAGCGGUUACAGUCGUUUCUGACAUUGUUCCCCUGAAUGCUUUUGAAACGGCCUUUUUAAUGAUCAUCAGACACAAGCGAUUUGAUCUCUCCCACCUCUCAUUAUUUCUCUUUUCAUCAGAGGUACUCUGAUCUGUAAGAGGUGAGGGAGAAUCGUCCCUUAACGCAAGGUCGAGAUCCAUUACUCCAAGUACUAUCAAGAGAUUUUCUUUCCAGGACUUGAAGUUUGUGCCAUUCAGCAUAGGAAUGUUAUUGAUGUUGGCAGUAAUAUUUGUAAGAUCAUUUGCAACUAAACAGAAAACAUAAUAUAAUUAAAACAAUGCUCACAUAAACCAAAAUAAUAAUAAAUUUAAAUAAUGGUAACCCCAUCUCAAGAUAUCGAUAUUCCAUUAAUAUUUUAUCUUUGGACAAAAUAUUAACUUCUAAGUGAUAUCUUGGCGCAGUAAUAAACACUGACAAUAAUAACAUGUCAAAAAAUAAAUUUUCCUUUGGACCAAUUUAUAAUUCACAUGUAAAAGCCGAAUAAUUAUCACAUGUUUAUUACCACAAGUGCACAUGUAAUUUCAUUAAAUAUUGACCUUCUUUUGGGCCGAUCAAUAUUCAUAAAAUUACUAGUACCCAACCAGUUAUAUUUUAAAAUAAAUUAAUUUUCAUAAUAGAGGUCACUUUGGUGGCAUAUUAUUUCCACUAAUUUAUUCCAAAAUAUAUAUAAUCAUACCAAUAUUCAAAUUUAAAAUUAUCCAAAAUAAAUGAAAAUUUUAAUCAAAGUCAACUUUGGUCAACUUUGGUCAAAACGUGGUCAAACAUGGUGAAAUCAAUUAAAUUGAAUCAUGACUUAUUAGACCAAAGGUCCAUAUCCAUAAUUUGACCCAAAAUUAUCAUUCAAGCCCAAAAUUUCUUGAAAUCCAUAAGUACUUUAUAAAAUUAUAUAUAUAAUGGGCCACAUAUAUGGAUUUUAUAGGGCUUAAAUGUCCUAUUUAACUUUAUUAGGGUUCAAUUAAAUUAAAGAACCUCUAAUUUUCUUAACAUAAAUAUAUUGAAAAACGGUGAAUUGGCCAAGCAAAAGUGCAAAACAUCGAAGCCAAUAACCAUGAUUUGACCAUCAUGGAACCUUGGUCCACAUUUGUUCACAAAUUCACACAACAAUCAUCAAAAGUAAAAGGCACGUGAAUGACAUAAGCAAACAAGAAGUCUGGAUUCAUUGGCCAUGCAUCAGAACAAAAGUGAUUGCAAAUCUAACAAUCCGUGAACUAAAAAUUGUUAACAUGAAAUAAAAUUAACUUGUCCAUAAUGGUGGAGGAAAGGACAAAACACUUCCCGUGGCCAGAGGACAAAUUAGAUUACAUCAUCACUUGAUUCAUGUUUUAAGUAAACAUAAGGUGAAAAUCGUAUGAAGACUUAUGUCUCAAAAGCAUUGAGAUUGUUGGAAGAAUUUGACCGAAGGCCAAAAGUAUCACAGUUCUGACCAUGAAUUUGACCGAAGACAAAAAACACAUAAAUUGCAUCAAACUAGCAGUUCAUGCCUAUUAACUUACGCAAGCACUCAUGAACAUAAAAAAUCGUAUGAAGACUCAUCCAACAUGGGACCAGAACCCACAGUUUUUUUUUUUUUUAAUGAAUCAGAGGCCGAAAAACCAAAAGGCAUGCGUGGGUUCUCAAUCAGCUGUCAGCAAUUAUAAAAGGGAUGCAAUUAUCAAACCAUCAGCAACCAAAGCUUGCAAAUCACUAAAUCAGCCGUACAAAUUUACUACAAAUUACUAAAUCCAAAUUAUUUCCUAAUAAUCAACCAUAUGGGCUCUGAUACCACUUGUUAGGGUGGUUAUCUAAAUCCAACCACUGGUGAAAACCAUCACCUUUAAACCCAAGAUCUGUAUGGCGAUUAUUAAGAAAUAAAUUAACUGUAAAAUAGCGGAAGCGUACCUGAAUCCAUAUUGAUAAACUUGAUACUUGAAUCCCUUAGAUAUUUGGGGUAGCCUUCCAGGUCAACAGGUAUUCACCAAUCCUUUGAGAGAGGCCUUUAGUUUCUCUCUGGUAUCUUUCCUGACGAUGGGAUAUCAGGGAAGGGCUGUUUUGUGGUAUUAGAAAAUACGACAACUAAAACGAUACCUGUGACCUGGGGACUAUAACCCUAUUUAUAGGCAACAUUCCUGUUAUCUUUUGGAACCCUAUUUCAGCCCAUCAUUGAAAUAGGAGCCCAUAAGUUUCUACACAUUAAAGGGCCCACAUCCUAUUAAAUACAUUAAACCCAAACUAUAUUUGAUCACUUUAAUUGGGUUUAACCUUAAUUGACAGUUUGCAAUACAUAAUUAUUCACAUAUAAGUCCAAUGUUGGAUUAAGGAUCCAACAACCAUCACUUCUUAUCACAUGUAUCCUGUGAGUUUCUACAAUGGCCGUAAAUAUGCAACAUAAUGCUGAGCAUAUUGUAGCUAAUGCAAUUCCAGUUGCUGAUGCAUACCUUCUUCCGACUGCCACUUUCAUACAAUUGUACACACUUUUAAAACCCAUCUUCGCUGCUUCAUAUAGCAACAUAAGGGUUGAAUCAGGAAACUUCAAUUUCCCAACCUUGUAAUUCAGGUGGCUUGCUUGCUCUACGAAGUAUGUGUUUCCUACGGAAGUAACUACAGAACAAAUUAUGCAGGUGAUCCAAACUGGAAGCAUACAGAUUCUGAUCCGUCUUUCUUGACUUUGAGUCCUGAAUCUGAUAAUAUCCCUGUCAGAGAACCUAAGCAAAGCAAGAGAACAGCAAAAAAUUCCUAUGGUCAGAAGUUUCAUUAUCUCUUACUUGAGAACAAAGAAAUAGAUCUGUAUUUGAUUUAUGGAACACCCGACACUCUAUUCCUUUUCAAGUGAAAGUUGAAAAACAGGGAAGAAGGGCAAAAAUUAAGACUAUGAUCAGGAAGAGGAAGAUGAAAAAGGAAGGAUGUGUGGGAUGAACCCAAGUCUGCUGCCCUGGUAUUCGCAUGAACCCUGAAUGAAAAGAAGUGUUGCCGCCAGUGUGAAAAUUGCUGGAAUUCCAAACCGAAGUUUCCAUGGCUGUAUGUAUGGGAGUGCAAUUAGUGCAAUAACUGCGACAAUGUGCACAAAGAUAACGCCUAAUGAUCUUAGGCCAGAUAUGCCGCUUCCGUUUCUUUGGUUCUGUCUCUUAACAAGCUCCAUCAUUGCUUCUACUGGUUUAAACUGAAGUUUUGAUAUAUCCUCUUCAGGUUGAGGGCUUUGUUGCCUGUUGCUUGUUUUAUCAACAACUUGACUCCCUUCAAGCUGAUCCAAUGCAAAUGCAGCUAAUGAGACAAUGUGCCCACCCACUCCAACAGCUGUCAACGCCAGACCUGUGUAAAAGAUAGCCUUCUGUGUGUGACCAAUGCAAUUAGGCUGGUAAUUAGCACAGGUGUGCGUUAACUUGUGCAGUGCUGGUGGCGUAGACAUUGAUAGAAAACCCAAGCCCUGCUCAUAAUUUUGGAUAAUCAGUUCAAGAAAGUCCGGUAAAACUGGAAGCUAUACUUCUAUCAAGUUAGGCCGUGAAAUUGAUGACUAAAUGGAAGGAGGGGAGGAAGAACUGUGAAUGAAUUUGCCGACAGGAGAACUUACAGAGGAAAAGGCUAUACUCGAGAGAAGCAGUAUCCAGUAGUUAUCCACUCCAAAGUCCCCAAAUAAGAAAAGAAUAAAAGGGACCAAUUUAGUUAGGCCAGUAUAUACAUUCAUUAUUCCUGCAGCAUGAGUAAACCCAACUUUCCAAACAUCUGUUAAGUACUUCUGCAUUAUCCACGUCACGUAAGUCUCCAACAAAUCAGCCCAUAUUAGAACUGUUAAGACAACAAAAAAAGGAGUUAGCAUUAAGUAGACAAGAAUGAUUGUUCAAGCAGAGGAAGUUAAAGAAUGACAAGGCCUUUGAUGACUCUGAGAUGAAUUAAAAGUACCCAUUAUUCUGACGAAUGCCAUUGAUUUUUCGAACUUCUCGUUGAAAUCCUGAGUGUGAGAAAAAUACUAUCAGAACAAGGGAAGCUGACGAUUAGAGCAGUUUCAGAACCAUAUGGUGGCCAUAGCAAGCUGAAAGAAACCAGAGUUAAUAGUUUGGAUUGAGGUUUUCUUUAAUUACCUCCAACUGCUAUGUGUGCUGCUGGUCUGCGAGGGAAAAAGAGAGACGGAGAAACUUCUCUGCAAUAAGUCGUUGUUAGAAAAUUGGUUUAAUUUCUUUUAAACAGAUUCCUAAUUCCUUGUUUUGUGUGAAAGUAACUAGAUUCCUAAUUGAUUUUAGUUACUUAAAGUAGUAGUUAAGGAAUUUCCUAUGUGUAUGAGUUUAGGAAAAGAAGUUAUUUCCUAUUCUAAAUCAGUGUAGGAAUUAGCAUUGAUUUCCUAUUGUUAUUUGGAUUUUGUCCAAAUAAUGUUCCUUAUAAAUAGGUGAGUUAGCAUACUACAUACAAGGGCACACAAGGGGCGACAUGUAGCCUUAUACAUGGGUGGUGAAAGAGGGUUCUUGGGAGAUGAGAGAUGAUAUGCAAGAAUUGGGUUUGGGUUCAAGUUGUAUUAUUGUAUAGAGUUUUUCUCUCAUAAUAAAGAACGAAUUUCUCUUCGUAGAUGUAAGUUUAAUGGUGGAGUCAAAUUAUGUUAAAUAUUAUGUGUCGUUUAUCUUUCAUACUUAUGGCAUUUUAUCAUUAAAUUGUUGUAUACUUGAUAUUCCAAUGGUUGUUUAUUCCGCACUUGAAUCCUAACAAGUGGUAUCAGAGCUUGAUUGUGAGACUGGGUUGCUCACAAGCACUUGAAUCCCAACCAACUAAAUGGUUGGAUCAAGAGUUUGGUUGUUCAAGGUUGGAUCCUGGUUAACUAUUGAGAUCAAGUAGAUUGGUGGUUGUUACCAAUUGAACAAUUUAAUGGGUGGUAUUCUUAUUUCAAGAGUUUGGUAAGAAACAUUGAAAGUGAAGAAUAGAAAGUCGAAAAGCAUGGAGAUACUUGAUAGUGAAUCUAUGCAGGUGAUUUAAGAGUCAAGAAAAAGAUGGAAUCCAAUGUCGAUUUUUUAACAUAAAUCGUUGGGUUGAUAUCUGCUUCGUAUGCUGUCUGUCCUUCAACUGUAUAUCUAUUAGUCUCCACUAGGGGUGAGCAAACGGUACAAAUUCGGUAAUUCGGUUAGCUGAAUUCGGUGAAUUCGGUUAUUUGACUUAUAGAAAUCAAAAAUACUUUCAAUUUUGAAUUGGUUAUAACCAAAUUCAUUUCGCAACGAUUUCGAAUUCGGAAAUGGUAAUGAAUUCGAUCUAACCGAAUUCAUUUAUAAAAAAAAAAAAACUGAUGAGAUAACUCUGUUAUGGUCCUGAAGGAAGUGAUUGUGUAAUUUUUAAUUUACAAAUUGGGGUUCCUAAAUUAUAAUACAUUCAUUAUGCUCCUCAAUGAUUUAAAACUUAUUACUGAUUUGAUCCUCGAAUUUAUUCAUAAUUUAACACAUUACUUAUGUUCUAAUCAUUUUGUGGUUUAAUUGGCAUUUAUUUGAUCACUUAUACCUAGAAUCCUUAGUCUAUGAUUUGAGGAACACAUAAAAAGUGAUUAAUUUAAACUAGAUUAAACCUUAGACUGUACAAUGAUUAAUGAUAAUUUAUGAAUUUAUAAUUUGCAAUGAUUAAUAAUAAGUAAUAUUAGUUACAAACUUACAAAUUACAAUGAUUAGUGAUAAGUUAUAUUAGUUACAAACUUAUAAUUUAUUUUAAAUCAAAAUAAAACUUAUUUACUUACAUAUGUUAUUGUGAAAGUCAAUACACUAAUACAUUGAUUUACAAUUCAUAUGCAUUCACUUACAUUACUUAGUUGUCUUGUCUAUACUUAAAACCUUAAGAUUAGUGAGUAGAGAAUAUGAAUUUUUAUGUUAAAUAUGUAAUGUAAAUUUAGAGCAUACUAAUACUUGCAAGUUACAGGUUACGCAUUCAAAUAUUCAAUAAUUCAAACAUGAAUGAUGUAUCAAAUUACCAAUAUCUAAAUUUCCAAUUACUAAUUAUGUUUAUUGUUUAAUAUUUAGUAUUAUACAUAUAUGUAUUAAUUAUUAUCUAAUUCUAGUCAUGUUACUCAUGUAUAAAAUAAUAAGUAUUAUAGUUAUGGUAUAUUGUUAUGUAUUACUAUAUAUUUGUAUUAUUAUAGUCAUAUAACAAUUAACAAAUACUAAAAUAUAUUGUACAUUAUUAUAAGUACAUGAUAAUACCAUGUACUAACUAUUAUUAAUAGCAUUUACCUAUAUAAUAUAAUAUUUUUUUUAGGGGUGUCCCGCAGGGAGUGGACCCGCAAGACUAUUCCCCACCCUCAACAACUUGCUGGCAGUAAGGUUCGAACCAGGGACCUAAGUCUCCAUCUUCAGCAACCUCAACCACCAGACCAAGCCCCUGAGGGCACCUAUAUAAUAUAAUAAUAUAUUAGUACUAUAUACUAAUACUAAAUAGCAUUUAUCUAUAUAUUAUAUAAUUUUAUAAAUUAAUUUGGUAUUCGAAUGUGGUAAUGCAUUUCAUUUUACCGAAUUUGAAUGCGAAAUCGGUUAUUACCAAAUUCAUAAUCUCAUUACCUAUUUCAUAUCAUAUUAGAAUUCGGUGAAUUCGGUACCGAAUUUGUAUCAAAUUACCUAAUACCCGAUUUCAAAUUACCAAAUUGCAUUUGAAUUCGGUAUGUACCGAAUUUGCUCACCCCACUCUCCACUGUCUUAUUGCAGCUUUGCUCAUGACUAUCUUGACUCUGUGGCCUCAUCUACAGCUGCACUUCCUUUCCUUCAAAGCCCAUCCUUCUAUUGUUUCAAAUGACACAACAUCGUAGCGUUGGAUAAUUUUAUAUGCGCUCAUAGUUCACAAAUUUGAUACAUUGAAAUUUGAGACCACCAACUGUGUGGCUCCAAAUUUGAACUUUUAUUGGGCUGGUCCAGUUUGCUUAGUAAACAGAAAGUUCGCCUCUCGCGAUUUACAAUCCAUCUAUUUGUCUAUUAUCAGCUAGGAAAAAUGACUUGUCUCGUCCUUUAUAUUUUGGUGAAAAAUUAAUUUUAUUGUUUACUUUUAAUAUAAAGUAAAUUAGUCCCUCAUAUUUUAAAGUGAACCAAGUUAGUCUCAAAAUAACCUGAUAUAGUCAUAUGGAUCUUACACUUAAUCAACAUAAAAAGAAAAUAAAUUUAAAAUUAUAACAUAAAUUACAAUCCAUUUUUUCUAAAAAAAAUUAAAAAUUUUAAGAAAAUGACAUUAAGCUAACGUAGAAAGGAAAAAAAAUUAAAAUUCAUAUCAUAAAAGAAACCCCCAAGUUACAAAGUUUUAUAACUAAAAAAUUUUUAACUUUUUUUUAUAGAGAAUGGUUUGUUUUAGAUGUUAUAAUUUUUAAGUUUUCUCUUUUUUAGAGAGAAUAGUUUGUUUCAGGUGUUAUAAUUUUAGUUUCUUAAGAGAUAAUUGUUUAUUUUUUAUGUUACAAUUUUUAAUUUUUCCCUUUUUAUGUUGACUUAAUAAAAUUUCCUAAUGAAGUUUUAAUUUUUAAUUUUUUAAAAGAAAAGGGUUUUUUUGUUAUAAUUUUUAAUUUAUUUCAUUUUUUAUAUUGACUUAAUCACAUGUGCAUAUCAAACAUAGUUAGAUUUGGAAGAAAUUAAAGUGACUGUUUCAAUUUCACCCGUAAAAUCUAUAUCAGGUUGUCAUUUUGGGACUAACUUGCUUCAUUUUUAAAUAUGAGAAACUAAUUUGAUUCAUUUUAAAAAUGUAGAACAAAAAACAUUUUUUCCAAGAUGUGAUGAUUGAAAUUCAUCAGACCAUCAUAUUGACUUAGAAGAAAAUAAGAUGAAGGCAAAAGGUUAAUUGAUGAUUGAAGUUCACUAUAUUAUUGAAUGAAGACGGAAAAAAAAAGAAGAAAAAGUGGUUACGGAAAUGAAGGCAAAGCUGAAAACAGAAAAGAGCCCCAAUAUGCUCUGGAAUAUGAGGUGCGAUUUGGGGAGAAGGGGUUUUUGUCGAUGGUGUAGACAAUAUGCGUUUCCUUUUUUACCCACAAAUAAAGAGCAAGAUUAUACCACUCUUUCCACCCAAAAAAAAAAAAAAAAAGAAAAGAGAAACCACAUACACAGACACUCAAUUUUAUUUUAUUUUUACAGUCCUAAUGAAACUUUUAAUAACUGCCAAUAGCUUACUAUCUUCGAAAAAGCUUAGUAUCUUCUGAAAAAAAGGAAAAAAAACUCUCAUUUAUAGGCCUCAUAAAACCCUCCAAUACUUGCCAAUUGCCAUUGCUUUUUUUUUUUUUUUGUGUUAAAGGUUUUCUUCCCACUACAGCAAGUGGUUCUUGGAUGAACCCAAAUUUUGUAGGAGGCAAGAGGCUUGGGCCAAGAUAGGACUCGUAUAAGGACUUAAUGGGCAACACUUCUGUAGGUGAUUGGAGUGAUGGCUAAUAGAAUGACAAUCGCCAACUAAUCAUUGCUGUGUGAAAAAUGUCCUUUCCGCUUUAGUAUUAUACUAGUCUGGGGGCUGCGCCAUCCGCAGGGUAGGCAAAUGUAACCCCUGUUAAUAAUUUGUGUUUGUCUAGUAAUAUUUUGUAAAGUUUGUUUUGUAAAUAUUGAUGUAGGAAAUAAUUUUAUAAUAUGUAAAAUAAUUGUGAGCUAGUUAUUUUUGAAAAUUUAGAGAACAAUGCAACCAAGUAAAUAUAACAUACAUGUUGAAUGAAGGGAAAGAUAAAUGGCAUAACUGGAAAAUAAGGCACAACUAAGGCUAAACUAAUACACAUGAACAGCUAAGGUGUCCCAUCUCUGCGGCAACAAUGAUGCAAAAUAAAGAGGAACAAAGAACAAAUAAAAUUACAAAGGAAUCAACCAACUAUAGCAUGCAUCUUCUAGCGUCCUGAGUAAGGGAGAAACAGCAAAUGGCAUUACCAAAAAAUAAGGAACUAACUAAGGCUAAUGCUAAUCACAUGAGGAACUAUCAGGGAACCGAUGCAAAUGGACCGCAAUAGCCCAAAAAUAUCAAUCAAUACCGAAAUAACCAACGGAUACACUUUUACUGUUCAUUCAGCCAACUCUCACUUUUAUAUAGUUAGAUAGAUUAGAUUAGAUUUAGAGAAUUGUUAACGGCACUCUAUCUUUUUUGCUAGUGACAUUUCCAUUAUUAUUUUUAACAUAUGAUAUUUAUUUAUUAGACUAUAUGAUAAGUAAAAGAUGGGAAUGCGAUUAACAAAUAGUGAAGUGUGUUAAUAUUUCCCUUGUAUUUAACGGAUAACUAGAGUUUAAUACAUUAAACUUUGUCGUGCUUUAUGAGUAGUGACCUUUAAAUGUAGAAAAAAAUGUAUUGUUCUUUAGUACACUUAGUGAUGAUUAGAAAGAUAAAAACUUAGUGCUAAUAUGUAUUUUUAGUGAUAUUGUACAUAAAAGCGUGUUAAGGCAAAUUCUUAAAUUUUAGUUUCAUGGACAUAUACCCACAUUACUUUACUUCAAUCAAAAUUACAUAAUCAUCAAUCAUCACAAUCAACGCACUUUCAAAUACAAUUUGCAAGAGAAAUUUUUUUCCCCAUAAAUUUCUUAAUAAACUGUGUCAAGGGCAAAAUUUUUGAAUUUAACGGAAGAUAUUUCUUUCUUGUUAUAUGAGAUAAAUGUACUUGAUAAAUUUCUUUUUUUAUAUUAUUGAAAGGAUCUAUCACAUUUGAGAUCAAGUGAAGGUGUGUAUUUUAUUUUAUAUGUGUUUAACUUAGCCAAAGAGUCUCUUUCUUGAGUAAUUUAGUACAGUCAAUUUGUUCAAAAUGACAUCAUAUUUAUAUUAUGGAGUUAUAUAUGACUGUAGACAAUGGAAUUUUAAUUAAAUUCUAAAAAUUACCAUUGGUCUAUAAAAUAUUUUUAUCCAAUCGGAUAUUGCCAUAUGGCAUGUACACUUGGAAAGUUUGGUUAUUAAAUAGCCAAUUAUAUUCCUCCACGUGUCAAGUUGAGGUGUUCCAAACCAAUUCAAAUCGCAGGGGUAUCUUCACCAACCAAAUCAUAUCAUAUCACAUACCUAUUGGAUAAAUAUCUAAGUAUUUAUUUCUUAUUAAAGGGAUAAUAUUUAGAGUUAUUUAAUCCAAGUAUAUCUCUUAUAUACUGCAAUGGCCUGGCCAGUAAAAUAGCGCCACGUCACGUGUCCCCGCAAGUCUAGCCAAUCGAGAAAUUACUUAUCUCUUUAUUAAUGAAGAGAUAAUAUUUAACUAGCACAGUCCUAAUAUGACUGUACGUCUUGCUAGGCAAGUAGAGUGGUGUACAUGAUUUCAACCUCCACCUCUUGCUACAACUAUAAAUAGAGGUCUCUCAACCAAGUUAAGGGGACACAGAGAUAUCAAGAAGCAUCUCAUACACUCAAGUAUUGAAGCUUCAAGCUACGAAGGUCUGGGUCUCAAAGCUCCUCAAGUCUUCCGCAUAUCAAGGCUUGAGCCUUCAAGUAUUUUCAAAUCCUUCAAAUCUUCCAUAUCAAGAUUUGAAGGAGUCGGUGGUUGAUCCAAGAACAAGCUGCGAAGCCCUUGGAUUGGUGUUCGAGGAGAAGAAUCGAAGGAAGCUCUCCAUAAGUUCGAGAAAACCCCAGAGAUUGUACCUACAUAUUUUUCUAAAUUUAUAUAUCAUACAUUUGUCGUGUAUUUUUCGUGUCGUUUUGCAGACUUGAAAUUUUUAUCGCGUACAAUGACAUGUUGCGAAAAGAAAAGAAAAAGUUGGCUAGUAACAUCUUGAAAACAUAGAAUGUAAAAGAAAAGGCCAUAAAUAAAAUACUUUGUUUUGUUGUGAAACUAUAUCUAAUCUCUGUUAGCAUUCAUCAACUUUAGAAUAACGUAGCUUGGAAUUUAAAAUGGUGCUAUUAAAAUCAUGUUAACACUUUGAAUAAAUUAUAAAUGAGCUCCCCUAUUGUUUAAUGCUCGUUUGUAUAAUCCUUUACUAGUUACAAAAUCAAUAAAUGACCUCCACUACUUGAGCUGCUGGAAGUCAUCCCCUGCAAAGAAGUCACUGAAAAUGUCAAGGCUACCCCAUUAAAAGGCGCCACAAAAAUUCUGAAGGUCUCUAUUUUCUUCCAUUGGCUUCUUAGUUUCUACUUUCUAUUACAAAGGUAUUAGGGAGGACAACUUCCAAUAGUUUGAUACUUUCGAAGGGUCUACGUGUAACUUUUGAAACAUAAGAGAUCGUGUGAUAAACUUUAAAUUGCAGUGAUUUAAAAAGGUAGGUUCCAUUAGUUUGAUACUUUCAAGGGGGUUGCACGUAAUUUUUUGAAAUAUAAGAAAAUCAUGUGAAAAAACACUAAAUUAUAGAUCAUUAAAAAAAUUUACCCCUAAUUCUUUCUAAUAUGGUAAAUACACAUUGAAUCAUUCCAUAAGCUCUUACACAUGCACUGAAAGAAAAAGGGGGCAAGGUGGAGAGGAAAUUUAAUGACACAAAACCCCCUAAUGUUUUGCGGUAUUAACACUUUCCUACCCAUGACAAAGAGAUUCUAUGCUCUGCUAUUAUAACUUUUGAAACACACACAACAAUUGCUGAUUAUGUCAACUGGUUAGUUUUACAUAUUAUCGUCUCUUGAAUGAAAACAAAGAAGAUGCUUGAGAUUAGGACAAAUGGGAAGAACUCCAGCUUAUGUAAUGUUAAGCAGACUGUAAAUUGACCAUUUCAUUUGCGCCUCACAACAUCUGUUUCUGAUUGUUGGGACUUCAGUUGUGGAAAAAAUCUAAGAGGGUUGUCGGAAUAGUGGUCUGACCCAAGAGGCACGAGAAACUAGGGCUAUCGAUCGAGCCUAAUGAGUCGGAUUUUCAUGAGCUUGAGUUCAACUCAUUUAAUUUAUAAUAUUUUUGGUCUUCGAGCUAUAAGUUUCGGGUUAAUAUAUGUGAAAUUCAUAUUUAACUCACAUAAUAUUCGGACUAUAAGCCUUAUUUAGGUUUAACCCAAGCUCACUUAUUACCUUAAUUUUCUAUCUUAAUAUAAUUACUAUAACUAUUAAGUUGUAAAACUAAUUUAACAUUUACAAGACUAUAAUAUUAAAACUAAGCACGAACAAAUAAUAAUUCUUCAAAAGUACAUAAACCAAAAAAUUUUCAACAAUAUUUAUAUUUAAUUCAUUCAAAAUACAUGAAAAAUAGUAAUAAAACAUGCGGUCAUAAGCCAAUACAUCUUUGAAAGUUGAAACUUUUUUAUAAUCUUGUGAUUUGAAUCCAAACAUGCUUGAUGAUUUGUGUUUCUAGAACAUAAAGAAAUCAACUAAUAUUAUACCAAUACAAAAAUUUACUAAACCAAUAAGAAAGGUAGAGAUUCAGUUAUGCAUUAUUAAUAUUGGCUCUGAAGAAAGCUCAUAGAAGAGUCUUCAGAUGUAUUUUUGUAAUUUGUAAUUUAUAUAUAUUUAGUAUUUAGUAAAAUUAUAUUUGGAUAUAUAAUUAUACAUAAUAUCAAAAUAUAAAUAUUAUAUAUAUAGGUAAGUAAAGGGUCGGGCCUAUAUCGGGUUUGAGCCUAUUGAGACCUAAAUUCGACUCAUAUUUAAUUCGAGCCUAAUUUUUAGGCUCAAUCUCAUACCGGCUCACUAAAAGGUCGGGCUAAUUGGACUUUUUGUCAAGCCGAACAAGCCGCGCACGGGCUGGCCCAGCCCCAUUGACAGUCCUACAAGAAACCAUUGUCCUUAAGGAUAAAAAUGUACCCAAAUAAUAAUAAUAAUAAUAAAUAAAAGGAAAAUGACAAUCUACUUUGACUACUUUGUUCUGCCCAUUUUCUAGUUCUUGAGAAAUAAAACGAGGACAUAUUUAUAUUUGGAAGUUUUCAAGCACAUCAAACUUAAAGGAAUUUAACAACUCAUAUAAAGGCUGUACUAUUACUUCAAAUCCUUUUCUAAUGUUAUUGAGGAUAUUUGUGUGACAUCAAUGUUUCGGUUUUAUAUUAAACAGAGAAACUUAUUGUAUUGAAUUUUCUUAUGAAACAGACUUGGAUUAGGAAGACGCUACAUAAAUGUUAAUUUGUAAAAGAGAAAAGUAAACUGAACAAGAAAUCUCAAAAACAAGAAAGCUGGUUUUAUCUCAAAAAAGAAAUGCAAAAGAAAUUUGUGUUAGGAAAUAUUCAUGAUUCUAAACUUCUAUGAACCCAACUAUAAUGAUGCGAGAAUGGAUCAAACAUCUAUUAAGUUGUAUGACAGCAUUAUGGGAAGACUUUUAAAGCAAAAUUGAAGGAAAAUUUCUUGAAUGGGUUUAUACAGGAAUGGGAGGCAGUUUUGAGGAUAAUAUUAGUUAUUUAGUCUAACUAAGUUCGACUCAAGAAAGAAAUGUGUUGUCAUUAUUAUGGCUGCCAGUGAGAUUCAAUAACAUAAUUGUGAUUGGUAACCUCUGUUUUGAAACUCGGACCGGACCGGCCGGUCGAACCGGGAACCGAUCAAGUGUCCGGUCCGAGUCAUGGUAGAAAACCGGAAAUUUAAAGCCCGGUCAAAGACGGUCAAAAAUCGGGUUUGACCGGGAAAAAACCGAUUUUUCCGGUUCAAUGGUUUCAUGUGGCCGAGACUAGUUAGUCAGCAGUCAGCACCUCGAUAAUCUAUAAAGGUGAGCGUUUAAGGUGGGACCUACGUGUCCUCGUCUCGCAGGCACCAGCUAAUUGUUAGACAAACCUGUUGUCACUUGUCAUCAGCUCAGUUUUUCUCAAUUGGCGCUAACACUACCACUGUUCGGUAGGAAUAGCAACGGGCAAAAAAAACUCAAUUUUUUCAAUAUUAUGUUUUGACCCCCUAAAUUGUUAAAACUUAUUAAUAUAUCUCAAAUAUUUCAUACUUUAUAAAUAUUGUCCUAAAAUUUGAUGUUAUUUUUCAAUUAAACUCAUAAUUUUAAUUCUAAACUUGUUAAUAUUUAUUAAAUAACAUAAAUUGCUACUUGAUUGUUCUAAUUUUUUUGUAUUUUCUUGUUAAAUAUAUUUGAAACAUCAAAUAUAUAUGAAUAUACCUUUAUUAAUAUUAAUAUAUUAUUAGAUAUUUUAUAUAUAAUAUUUUAAUUUUUAAAUAAUUUUUAUUUAUGACGUCAUCCGGUUCGACCCCUAUCGACCCCCGGUCGAACCCAUUGACCCCUGACCCCUGAUCUCGGCCGAGUCGAUAUCCGGUCCGGUUCUGAAAACAUAGUUGGUAACUCCAUUUGUAUCUCACUCCAUUCUUUCCUUUUGUUCUGACAUUGGUCAAAGGCACUAAGAAUUUUACACUUCAAUAAUAGUGCAAAUGUAUUCAUGCUUAAGUGAUUGGGAGAUGGAUAAUCUUCCUAUGGAAACUAAGAUUUACUUCUUUUUUUUUGGGGUCAUUUCUGGUGAGGGCUUCAGAAGACUACCCUGUUGAGGAUAUUGUUUGUUGAAUAUUGUUUUUGGUUUAAUUGGGUUUCCUUGGUUUGGCAUAGUAUAGUCAGUUAGAUAGGAAGCUCCAAAUUCAUAUAUUUGCAUAGGAAAACUCAGGCGAAGCUAAAAUUAAUAAUUUGAGAUUCUCCAAUUGCGUUCUCAAGUACAUGCAAGUCGAAGUUCCAAAUUCAAACUUUCCUUUGCUUCUCCAGUAGAACCAAUUUCGAAUUCCAAUCUCACAAUAUUCGCCCUUUAUCAUGAUCAUGAUACGGCCUUUUUUCUUAUGCAAUUCAAAGUUUUUUUUUUUAGCUUUACUCUUCACAGAAUCUUGAUUUAUGCCCUUUUAACACCACCAAUUUAUUGCCCCAUUUUCUCAUUUCAAUAAUGGUCGCCCGAGAAGUUGUAGGAAUGGUAAACCGGUGAUGAAAUGGAAAGUAAUGAAGAAAUCAUUUUUCCAUAUACAAGAUUUAAGUGGUUCAAAUUCGAGGAGUUUUUUUAAAGUAGCAACAGACAAUCUACUGACUCUAAAGAGAAACAGGCCUUUGUUUUGCUUAAUUUGUUGGUUGUCUUGGACCUUUCCCUUGAAAGGAACGAUCCUAAUUUUCACCACUAAAUAUUUUGCUUGUAAUAUGAGCACGAGUUUAAAUGGCGUCAUGAUCACAGGAGAUUGUCUAAGCCCGAAUGAAGACUUCAGAAUGUGGAGAUUGAAUUAAUUCAUACGAUUACUGAAGGUUUUUCAGAAGAAAUGCUGGUUUUUAAAGUAUGGAUUAUUGAAGUUCCUAACAAGAAAAGCGUGGUUUUUCCACAAUAAUACAAGUCUCAGCCAUUUCUCCUUCCUCGACCAGAGUCAUCAAAUCAAGAUUUUUAUUAUUUUUUUUAAAUAAAGGAAGGUUUUUUGCAGUCGGGAACUGGUAAACUUAUCUAGACUAGAAUAAGUGGUUAUGAAGAAAAGAGCAUUGAUAAUUAGUCUGCAUAGAAAUGGAACGCUUCCUCGACAAACUUUAGAUGCCUUUGCAUUUGCAUUUUCACUUCUCAAUUAUUGUAACUUUAGAUGCUUUUCAAUCAUUGUUUUUGCUUGGGCCUUCAUCAUUUUUUUUUUUUUUGGUUGUUGGAAAAUAUAUGAAUGGUUGUUCCACCUAAGAUAUGUCCACAACAAUGAAAUUAUAACAAAAAAAACGAGAAUUACGUGAAAUUGUUGUUUUGGCAACUUUUAUCUAAUUGGUAAGUCAUAUUAACUUAAUAUUUUUGACAUUUAUAUGUCACAAACCUUACAAAUUUGGAUGCUUUUGCAUUGGCAUUUUCACUUUAACUUUCUCAACCAUCGUUGUUUUCUGAUUGAAUGCUGGGGCCUUCAACUUUUUUGAUUGUGGACAAUAUCUCAAUGAUUGUUGCAUUCGCGAAGGACAAUUAUUAAUUUCCAAGUUAAAAUUGUUAAAAGCAAAAUAAGAACUAUAAUUGCUCUUUGGAAACAUUAAUUUCAUUAGUUUAUCCUUGGAAAAUGAACUUGAAAUAUACUUUGGUCUUAAUUAUUGGUCCUCAAGAACUCGAAUUAAAAUAGACAUCUUAUUUUCUUUGGUUUUCUCAAGAGUUGGGGGCGACAAACCUUAUUUGGAUUGUAUAUAUGAAAUUAAUUGACUCGACAAUUUUACAUUGAGUAUUUUCAUUAGCCAAAAACUAAGUUAUGUUUUGCAAACAUAUAUGUUAUGUUUUGCUUUUUGGCUCAAUAAUCAGGCUUGUUAUUUUAAAUUAACAAAUAAUUAUUAGGCCUUCUAAAUGAUUAUAAUGGGGCGGAUUUGUCCAAAAAGCUCCCCUGCCCCCGCCCCGAUACCUCGCCACCCUUACUCGCGCCCCAAACCCACUCCAACUUCUAUGAUUUCUUGGCCGAAGGACACAUAUCAUGUUUGUCAAAGAAGUCCAACUGCCAAUUCAGGCCGACUGGCAAGAAAAACGCUCUAUCAAUUUGAUUCUAGCCCAAGCCCCAGUAAACCAAGAAAAGUAGAUAGCCAUUGGUGUUCACCCAGUGAAAUGCAAAAUCGGAUCCUGGAAAAUCUGAAAGAAGAAGAAACAAUGAUUCCAUUGCUUAAACCUCAAAGCGAUUUUCUGUGCUCAGACAUACUAUGGUAUAAAGCUUCAUUUCUUUUACAUAAAAGUCAUUAUUUUCCUUUGUUAGCAAAUCAGCAAUAAAACUGAACUCUCCCUCCAAGAUGCCUUUACACAUUGGCAAUUCCAGCUAUACAUAUGGCGGCUGGUCCUGAAGAAGUCGAAUAAUACAAAUUGAAUGCCACGAAUUGCUGAUCCCAAUACGCAUGAAAGAUGAAUUAGAUGGCAAUCUGAGGCAAAUGAAUACGCUACCAGCUACAUGUAAGGCGGUGAAAUUGGAUAGAAAUUUCAACCCAUAGAACCAACUAGCACAAGUAGCAGAAAUAUGAUGAAGGAAGCUGGACUGCGACACACACUUAAUAAGCAUCACAUAAUCUAAUUCUUAAAAACUCUUGCAAAAUGGCAAACCCAAGAAAAUCUUGUGCAAAAUAAGGCGUGACAGUCUGAUUGAUGCGAUACCAAAGUGAGUUUAUCAUUGCGAUUCAACCAGGAACUUGACAUUAGUUUCAUUAAGUUAGCAGAGAAGAUAAUGAAGACUGAAGAGCAGAGCCAAUCGAAACUCUUAAAAUUGAGAACUAUAGGUCAAGGCUUCAUUAAACAGGUGAUUGGAAAUGGACAGAAAACCAACUUUUGGUGUGAUCGAUGGCACCCUCUGAGAACUUGCUUUUCUGCACUUCUCUGAGAACUUGCUUGCUGGCUUCAAUCCAUCGAAGUCUGAUCCUGCAGCAAAAUGUUUCUGUGACGGUGCUUGGAAAUGGCCUAGUGGGAGGAAGUCUAAUGUGGAAGUUAGAAGGCUUCGACAGCUCACUUCUUGUCAACCAGCUCUUAAUCCAAAGGAGAGAGAUGUCGCUGUGUGGGCACCCUGCAACUCAGGCGUGUAUAAUGUCAAGUCUGCUUUACAAAUUCUUAGGCUUGCAUCACCUGAAGUCCCCAGGUACAUGCUGGUAUUGGGACAAGGGAUAAAUCCCUAAGUUCUCUUUUAUUCCAUGGGUGCUGUGUAGAAAAAGGCUGAACACUAAAGACAGAAUGAGGAAAUGUGGUUCUUUUGCAUGCUCUGUAUCAGCAGCGGUGUGGAGUAAAGUUCUGUCCAUGUGCCUGUCCCCUAGGAGGCCCCAACUGUGGUCUUCAGAACUGUCCUGGAUAUGUGAACAUUGGAAAUCCCCUUCGCUCAUUGACAGGUUUCGCAGAACAGCCUUGGCUGUCUCAACAUACUACAUCUGCAAAGCAAGAAAUCUGGUGAUCUUCCAAUAGGAAACAGUAACCUCCACGGGUAUAGUUGCCGAAAUUAUAGAUACUUCUAGACACUAGUAAUAGUUCACGUGCUUUGCACGUUAUUGUAAUAUCUUAAAAUGUAUUAUUCUUUAGAUACUAAAACUUUUUUAUGAAAUUUUGAUCACCAACAUCAUAAUAAUAAUAUUUUUAUAUUAUUUAUUUUUUUAAGCUAGUUACUUUUAAAAUUUUUAUUAAAUGAAAAGAGACAGAAAACAUUCCAAUGUAGUUGACAUAUCGUUUAGGAUUAAAUUUGAAAUUAUGACCCAAACACUUUUUAAUUUAUAACUUGAACUCUAACAUAUCAAAUAUUGAUAAUAUCAUGUUUUACCAAAAUUAUUGUAUAUUCAUGAUUCUAUUGCAUAUAAACUACAAUCAUCACAAUUGUUUAUAAAUGAAGAAUAUAAUUAAGUUAGAAAAUUAAACAUACAUGUAAUUUGAAUUCUUUGUAUUAUAUUAAUUUAGAGGUGGCAAUUUGUCCCAAGUCCCAAUGGGUUACCCAUGCCCAUGGGGACUUUGGGCGGGAUGGGUACUGAAAUUUGAUAUUGGGUUUAAAAUGGGACAAAUCCCAAUUGUACCCAUUAAUUGAUGGGAAAUCUUGGGAACUACUUGGGUACCCAUUGGGCUCAAAAAGCAAGGGCUCCGUUUGGAUUAGUUAUUUUUGGGGGGUGUUUUUGAAAUAUUUUAUUGUAGUAGUGUAUAUGAAAAAUUUUUACUAUAAAUUUUUUUUUUGAAAUAUUUGAUAUACUAAUAUAGAUGGGAUAUUUUUUGAAUUAUUGUAUAUUACUGUAAUAUUGUAUUUGAAAAACUUAUUUUUUGAAAAAAUAGCCAAUCCAAACGGAGUCUUAGAUUCAAAAAUUAUCUUUAACAAUUUUUAUAGUCAUACUAACGAAUAUAAUCUAGUAGUCUUCCUAGUCAAUAUCCACAAGAAUUUCCAGCAUUUCAGUCAAUUUAGACCUGUCAUCCUUGGACAAUGAUGAGAAUAAAUAUUCAACACCCUGAGUACCUUGACCAUCUUGAUAUAUGUUGGAAUAUGGUUGUAUAUCUAUUUUUUCCUUUAUUUGUUAAUCCAAUUUUUGGCGGGAAUCUUGAGUAUAAAGUACUUGCAUGUUUAUUUAAUAAAACUAAAAGAAAUUUAAUAAAUAAAAAAUAUUAAAUUUAUAUAAAAAAUAAAAAAUGAAUUAAAGGAAAAAAAAUAGGUAGAAAAUAGAUUUGGGUAUUGGGCGGGAUCAAUCUAAACCCAUCCCAAAGUGAUCCCGCCCAAGUUAGUCCCAAAACACGUAUGGGUAAGGUUGGGCCCAAACCCAUAUGACUCGAUUCCAUCUCAAACCCAAUCAAAUCCCGCCCAUCCCGCCCAUUUUGCCACCUCUAUAUUAAUUCUAUUUUUGUCAAUAAUGGAGUCAAAAUGAUCCACCACGUAAAGUUUUUUUGGUUUGUACAUUCUAACAAUUGAAAUUUUAUAGAUAGAGAUAGUUGAAGUUUUUUCUAUUUUGCUUUUCUUUUAUUCAUGUUUUUAGCACAAUCCAAUGCGAAACAAAAGCAACAAGUCUACUUUUUUCAUAUAAGCACAAUAUUUUUGGUUUUAGUAUUAGUUUUUUCUAUGAUCAUGGAAUUGGAAUGAGAAUUGUGACCAAUUAAUAAUUUUAAUAUUAAUUUUUUGGUGUUUUAUUUUUUAAUUGCCAACUUUUAAUCCAUAACCGCUAUCAUUAUUAUCAAUUAUUGGAAUGCACUAAAUAUGUCUAAUUACAAUUGUCACCAUAAAUGAAAUUUACUUAAUUUUAAAGCUUUUCAUUUCAUAACCGCUUCCAUUAUUCACUAAUAUUGCAAUACAAUAAAUAUAUGUAAUCAUUAGAAAAAUAAGGGUAGUUUGAACAUCACCAAAAACAAUUUGGAUAUCAUUUCCAUUUUAUCAUUCUUCAUUUUAAAUUUACCCUUAUUAUAAUUCUUAUUUUAUCAUUAGGGAUGACUUCUGACUUGAUGGAUGGACUUGGUUUGCUCAAACCAAUAUUGUUUGUCUUCCCCGAGAUCAGAGUCAUUUUGAUGUUGUCUUUGGUAUUAUUUGAAUUGUAUUCUAGUUUUUUAAUUCAUUUGCUAUUUACUUUAUGUCAUUUUAUAAAUAGUUUACAAUUUUUUUUCAAUUUUUUUUGAUCGGUUGCUAUUAAUGAUGAUAGUGGUUUGUAUGGUUCUAUUUUAGAUUUUUUUCCAGUUUAAUACUACUAUUUUAGUUAUAAAGGAGUCAUCAAUUUUUGUAUAUUGAAAUUCCAUUGGGUGCAACAUAAAAAAUUCUUCAUAUUGGUAAAAAGAGCAUAAUUGUAAAAUUUACUCGUGAUAUAUGUAUGAAGACAUACAGAUGAAUAAGGGUUCACUUGUCCUUAUAUGUUUCUCCAUUUUCUAGAGAGUAUCUAUUUUUUGAGAUUGAUUUUUCUUCUUACAAUGACAACUAAUGACUCAUGAGAAAUUUUUCAUGCUUCAAUUAAGAAAUUUUGAUAUGUAUAAUAAUUGGGAAUGGAGUCCAAGAGUAGAUAAAUAGUUUUUAAUGAGCAAUUUUUAAUUCUAAUUACCAAUACUAUUAAAAUGUAAUUAAUUGGAGUGUUUUAUUUCUUGUAAUUAGUGCCAUAUUAAAAUACAAUAAUUCUAAUUAAAAGACAUGAGGGUAAUUUAGGGAUAACAAAAACUAAGAUAAAACCGUGCUUACACUUGCACUCCCUAAAACCAACAUUCAUACUUUUUAUAUAGUAAUGACAAUUAUUCUAAUUACCAAUACUAUUGAAAUGUAAUCAAUUGGAGUGUUUUAUUUUUUUUAAUUAGUGCCAUAUUAAAAUGCAAUAAUUCUAAUUAAAAGACAUGAGGGUAAUUUAGGGAUAACAAAAACUAAGAUAAAAAAGUGCUUACACUUGCACUUCCUAAAACCAACAUUCAUACUUUUUAUAUAGUGAUGAUAUUGGUGUUUCAUGGAGAUGGGUGCCACAGACUCACAACAACUGAUUAUUGAGUGGGGAAUCUCGGAUAAAUGCUUUGAGUAUAUAGCUGAUGUAAAGGUGGACUUUGCCACUGUGUAAGUACUGAUCCUUUCUAUCAAUAAAAAUGAACAAGUUUUGCUCCAAAAAAAAAAAAAGAAAACAAAAGAGCCAAUCCAUACAACCAAAGAGAUGCAGAGACUAUGAAGGUGCUCAAUUAGAAAGUAGGAGGAAAACUAAUAGUUGUUGUUGUAAUUGCAACUUUACAUAUCAUCUGAACAUCAGAUUAUGUCUAGAAAAGGGAAGCACGAAAAAUGUAGAUAUCUCUGGUCAAUAGUUAAAGAUACUACAACAGUUUUUGGCAACUAAGUAGAAGCUAAUUUCAGAAACGAUGAGUCUGAGACAGAAUAGCAAAUUCACUACAAUAAUCAGUGAAUUAUUAGUACUGCCACAAAUCAUGACUAAAACUGCUAUAGCUGAUUGACAGUUUGAAGGCACCAUAUUUGCAACAAGAAAUCAAGAAGCUUUGGCCAGCAGAGACAAAGGAAGUGAAAAAGGCAGUGCCAUGAUGAAAUUCAAGAAAGGAUUAUCCAAAGAAAAGGCGGUAAUUAGGAGCCGUCAAAAUGUCUGUCUGAGCUUUAAGCCUACUGUCACUGCAAAACAGAAAUACUAGAAUCGGGACACCACAUAGCAAAUCAUAAGGCUUAACUGGAAAUUGCAUGACAUUAAUGUUUAGCAAUUAUUCAGAAAGCUAAUUCAGUAUUUUUUUUUUCGCUGUUCUUUUCUAACCUAAAUUAGUAAGCAGAUAUCAAAUCUUCCUGCUCAGUCUACAAGUACCAGUAGUGCCAUAGACAUUACACCCGUUUGUGUUUGAAACACUGAGAAAAGUGUUGUUCUAUAACAAUAUAGUUAUAAUAUGCGGCACCAACAAGAAUGAAAGGCAGAGACAGGUCCAGACAGAGUUGCCAUGAAUGCGAACUCUUUCAGACCUGCAAGAUACAAACGUCUUAAACAUGACAAUUUUUUAAGGUUUUAGUUAACUCAUUGCAUAUUGAAGUGGUUAAAACCCAACUAUUAAGUAGUGGAAGAAGAUUAUCGGUACUGUAAAUUAUCAAACCACUAAUUUCACAACCAAGGGCAGUGAGAGUUCCCUCAAUUGUCCGUUCCGAUUUAUACCGAGGAGAAUCAGUAGAAUCCCAUCAUUCAAGAGACACGAUAGAGAAUGCCAAUAACCGGGUAAUUUGGAGCAAGAUGACAAUUACAUAUUCAAGAGGUGAAAGUUUAGAGCAAGCAUUUCCACUUGCUCCCUUCAGCAAUCAUAGCGUACAACUGGAAGCAGCAGACAUCUGGUAAAAGUAAACUGCUAGUUUUUAUUUAAAACAAAGAAUUUUGUACCGUAGACGUAAAUACAAAAAAGUUCUCAGCUUUGACAUUGUGCUUGAUUCUCCACAUCAAAAAAUCUGCUCUUGAAUAUCUGUAUUCCAUAAUUGAAUUUUAUAUGUGGUUAGUGACAGUGUUUUCUUCCCUGAACAAAGCAUUCAACAAACUAAAGUUUAACAGUUGCAUAAUUUCCCAAAUUGCCAAUUUACUUCCAUAAUUCACAGCUUAUAAGAUAGCACAAUUAACGAUUGAGAUCUAUGUGGUGGAACUCAGAAAAUGAGCCAUUAAGUCACAGCAAAAUCCGCAUAUAACUGCAACCAAAACACCAGCUAGUUCUAAUUUCUAACGACGAGCAGUAUGCCAGAGAUAGCUAAUUCAGUUACAAGUAAAUCAGCCCCUCAUUAUUGUGACUACAAAUUGCUGAAUCAUUUGGACAGUUCAAGGUGGAUUCACUAAGAGCAGCAAGUUGCAACAAGUAGACUUGACUAGCUU
rnacentral:lncRNA from 1 species